AGUGCCACCGGAUCGACGCCGCGGGUGACAAGGAGAUAGUCGCGGAUCGCAAUGGCGUGACGGCCCUC
rnacentral:sRNA from 1 species